UACGGGGGGGGCAAGCGUUGUUCGGAAUUACUGGGCGUAAAGGGCUCGUAGGCGGCCAACUAAGUCAGACGUGAAAUCCCCCGGCUUAACCUGGGAACUGCGUCUGAUACUGGGAGGCUAGAGUGCGGGAGAGGGAUGCGGAAUUCCAGGUGUAGCGGUGAAAUGCGUAGAUAUCUGGAGGAACACCGGUGGCGAAGGCGGCAUCCUGGACCGACACUGACGCUGAGGCGCGAAAGCUAGGGUAGCAAACGGG
rnacentral:rRNA from 1 species